GGGAUGAUUUACAUUUGAGUGAGUGGCGAACUGGUGAGUAACACGUGGGAAACCUGCCCAGAAGCGGGGGAUAACACCUGGAAACAGAUGCUAAUACCGCAUAACAACUUGGACCGCAUGGUCCGAGUUUGAAAGAUGGCUUCGGCUAUCACUUUUGGAUGGCCCCGCGGCGUAUUAGCUAGAUGGUGGGGUAACGGCUCACCAUGGCAAUGAUACGUAGCCGACCUGAGAGGGUAAUCGGCCACAUUGGGACUGAGACACGGCCCAAACUCCUACGGGAGGCAGCAGUAGGGAAUCUUCCACAAUGGACAAAAGUCUGAUGGAGCAACGCCGCGUGAGUGAAGAAGGGUUUCGGCUCGUAAAACUCUGUUGUUAAAGAAGAACAUAUCUGAGAGUAACUGUUCAGGUAUUGACGGUAUUUAACCAGAAAGCCACGGCUAACUACGUGCCAGCAGCCGCGGUAAUACGUAGGUGGCAAGCGUUGUCCGGAUUUAUUGGGCGUAAAGCGAGCGCAGGCGGUUUUUUAAGUCUGAUGUGAAAGCCUUCGGCUCAACCGAAGAAGUGCAUCGGAAACUGGGAAACUUGAGUGCCCAACAGGACAGUGGAUCUCCAUGUGUAGCGGUGAA
rnacentral:rRNA from 1 species